rnacentral:tRNA from 1 species
GUCUCUUUAUUUUGUAUAGAAUUUUAUUUUUGAGUUAAAAAGCUCAAAUUUUCUUGAGGGACG